UACAGAGGGGGCAAGCGUUGUUCGGAAUUACUGGGCGUAAAGGGCGCGUAGGCGGCCGCCUAAGUCAGACGUGAAAUCCCUCGGCUCAACCGGGGAACUGCGUCUGAUACUGCCUCGCUUGAGUACUGGAGAGGAGACUGGAAUUUACGGUGUAGCAGUGAAAUGCGUAGAUAUCGUAAGGAAGACCAGUGGCGAAGGCGAGUCUCUGGACAGUUACUGACGCUGAGGCACGGAAGGCCAGGGGGAGCAAACGGG
rnacentral:rRNA from 1 species